GAUGAAGAACGCAGUGAAAUGCGAUACUUGGUGUGAAUUGCAGAAUCCCGCGAAUCAUCGAGUUUUUGAACGCAAGUUGCGCCCGAAGCCAUUCGGCCGAGGGCACGUCUGCCUGGGUGUCACGCAUCGUUGCCCCCCCAAACUCCGGUUCGGGCGGGGCGGAAGUUGGCCUCCCGUGCGUGCCUGCGCGCGCGGUUAGCCCAAAAGCGAGUCCUCGGCGACGAGCGCCACGACAAUCGGUGGUUUUUUUACCCUCGUUCCUCGUCGUGCGUGUCCCGUCGCCCGAACGCGCUCUUGUGACCCUCACGCGUCGCCUCGGCGGCGCUCCCAACGCGACCCCAGGUCAGGCGGGACUACCCGCUGAGUUUAAGCAUAUCAAUAAGCGGAGGA
rnacentral:misc_RNA from 1 species